rnacentral:lncRNA from 1 species
GUGAUAUAAAAUGCAGCCAAAAACGUGAAGCAGUUGGCACUCAACGUGGUGAUGAUGAUAGCUACUGCACUUGCGGUUUCUGUUCCACGCGAGAGUUGCGGCGCUGUUACUUUUAGCCGAAUUUGUAAUACUGAUCUUCCUCGGUUGUAGAGGGGAAAAUAAAUUAUGUGCGUUAUUCUGAAAUAUGUGCUGUAUUGAAAUUCGUAGUUCUGAAAUAUAUUUACCUUGAAAAUAUAGGCAAUCUGGUGGGAAUUUUUAAAAUAUUCGUAAAAUUGAGAAAUUCGUUACUGUGGAAUUUGUAGUAAUGAGAUUUGACUGUAGUCAUAUUGUUGACUGUGUCUCAAGAGCAGCAUACAAGAUCCCCUAAGCUGUGGUGAUAAGUACAUUGGACAAAUAGGCCGAUGUGUCAAUGUACAUCUGAGAGAGCACGGAAAUUAAUUAAACGGUGUGCCAUCCUCUCAUCUUGCUUCACAUUGUAAAUUGUGUCCGUGUAAACCUAUCUUCGAAAACACAGUCAUUUUGUUCAGUCACCCUAACCAAAACACACAAGAAAUCUCGGAAGCCUAUCAUAUCACUAAGAACGUCGCACUGUGUGUAAGCCAACCAUCCUUAUUACUGCCUGACAAAGAAUUCAAUUUUAAUAAUCGAUGUUAAGACGUGCCUCGGAUGUAUGCUUGUUUUGUACCUCGUCUUCACAUGCGCGAUGCGUCCAUUUUCUACAUAUGUAUUUUUUUCAUACGUGCAUUAAACAUCAGUUGUGAGUGAGUGCGUGUGCUGUGUGUUUCGUUUCUAUGUCCUAGAAGAAAGGGAGUUGACCGAGGGGCCCAAUUUUUAUUAACCAUAUCAUGAGAAGCCAACAAAGACACUGAGGAAAACAUAGGGGAAAUCACUUGUACUUACUAAUUGAAUUAAAGAAACGAUAAAUGAUGGCAAUGAAAGUGGAUGAAAAAACAACUUGCCGCAGGUGGGGAACAAUACCACGUCCUUGCAUUAGGCGUGCAAUGCUUUAUGUCCUGUGUGUUUAUAGCACUUCAAGUUUUUCUAGUAAUUGACUGAUACAGUUUAUGAUGUUUGCAGGUAUUUCACAAUUUUUCCAUUCAUAUGGGAUUGAAUUAUUUUAAAGAUACUAAUUUUUACUGAUAUUAUUGCUUUGGUAGCAAUAAUAAUGUGACAGCCUACUUUCGUAUCUGGUAUACUUUUAAAAUUAAUGAAUUAGUACCUGGGGGUGAAUUAUUUUUGUGUCAAGUUUUUGUUACUUAUAUUUGGUUUCCGGUUGUUAUUUCGUUGAAAUAAUUGAUUUGACGUACAUUAUGUGGGUCUCGCAACAGACAUUUUAGUCAAGACUGUUGACCUGAGCCAAUCUUAAAGUCACUGUAGCAUAACUGCGAGUUGGCUUAGUUGGAACAGAUUCAUUUUUUAAAAAACUUUUUGUGCACAAACAAACAGGGACAAAGAAAUGGAGCAACACAAGGACGAGCACUUGUUCUUUACUUGUUCUUCUAUAGUUGGACAUUGAGGAGGAGUUAGUAUACGAUUUCAAACACAUGAGACAUAUCUGUGUGUUGAGGGAUGCUUAUAAGCCUGCUGUCACAUUAAUUUAACAUAUUGAGUGGCUGGCCAUAUUGCGCAGAUCUUGUCGCAAGUCUGGCCGGAGACCAUCUUAAUGUCCUGCAACGUGAAGCCAACCAUAUCAGCAGUAAUCUGACUGCACAUACUUAUUUGGCUAUGUGAAUCACUGUCAAACCUGUUGUUCUUGUACUUAGUCACGUCGAUACUUUUUGUUCCUGACCUUUUAUGACGCAUGAACACAAACUAUAAUGCAGAGUGGCAUUUAUUUUGCUUCACUUUCUAGCAUCACUUACUAGCCUUUUGCUAAUUUGGUAUUUUGCCAUGUAUUAUGUUUGCAGAAAAUUUUAUAGUCUGCUAAAAAGCAGGUAAGGUUUUCACUCAGGUAUAAAGGACAGAGCUGCAUAAGUACUUUCCAGUGAAGGGUCUUCACUGCUAUGAUAACCUCUAAAAAAACAACUGAAUGUUAUUGCUGCUGUACAAACUACAAUAGUGCUACUUCAUCUCUUGGUCAGCUGGGUGCAAAGUGUAGGUAUAAAUUCUUUGCUGGACAAGCAGAUGUGCUAUUCUGGUGCAUUAUCGGAAAAUGGCAAUGUGCACUAGCAUUGGCGUUUUACUGAUUUAUGUUGCAAUCAUAGCACAUUGCCCAGUGCACCUUGGUGUAUAAAAAUGAUGGAAUGAAGAGGGCCCACUUUGCCUGUAGGUAUUUCAAGGUGCACAUUCAUUGAGAGAAUUCUAUGAGACAGACGAAUACUGCAUUACAGUAAUGUUGAGAAACCUUAGUUUUGAGAACUAGGUAAGCUCUGCAGCAAAAACAAAUGUUGUAAUGUAUAUACUAAUUGAAAAGUGCAGCUUUUGCUGAUUAGCUGCCCUUCUAUGCACCUGCGUUUUAUGCCUGCCUUACCAAAUGAUGCAGCUGCAUCAAUGCUUUUAGUAUGUGAGUGAUACCUUGAAGCUCCUAAAGCAUGUGGUGUAUCUUACUGUACAGUACACAUUCAGUGAUAAAUUAAGUUCAGUUGUGCAUCAUUCUAGAUAAUGAAGGUUUCUUUUGCAAAAACAACAAAAAGGAAGCGUUCUGUUUUCUUGCACACAGUAGGUUGCUUUCACUGAAUUUUCCUCUAUAAUUUGUUGAGAAUUGCAGGAAACAAAGUUAAGCCUAAAUGAUUCACAUGAAAUAUUUUAGCAAGUAGCUGCUGAUAUAGUAUAACAUUACAUAAUGCUUUAUUCCUGAAUGCAUUUGUUUGCUGAUAUCAUGGAAAUUUAUAACCAAAAGCCUUUCUUUUCUUUUAAUAGCAACAUGAAGCUUGUUAACCCUACAAUUCUGCUAGAAACUUUAAAAAAUAUUCGCUUGUGACCUUUAGUAGAAUUGUAACUUAUUUAGGAGUAUGUCCUCUAAAGGGAGUACUGAUGCGAAAUUUUAGUAAUGUACUUUUCUGCUGUGAUGAAUAGUUAUUAACCCAAGAGUUGUGGUAUGCAAGCUAAUUUGCUCUAGCAUGUGACAAGUUAAGUAAAUCGUUAUUUAAUAUGACAGUCUAGGCUGAGUGCCACGGGCAUCAUCAUGUUGUCAUUCAUCAUGCUCUACAUAGCUGGCAGUCACAUAAUAUUCUAAACGACAAAUCGAUGUGCCAGAUAACCUAAUUGCUGUUGCAGGCUUACUGUGCCUAAGAAAGCUUAGUGCUUCUAAAUCUCCUAAGUUUAUUCAGGGCGCUUAGAUAAGUGUUUUGAGAGUGCAAACCAUCUCCUGUACCACCAAACCAUUUAUCAUAUUUUCCAGUGUACAAGUUGCACCUUUGUUAUUAGUUGCAGCCCUCUUCUAAACAGCUUCUUGAAGAAAAGGAUGAGACAAGACUGGAUAAGAAAAGCCACAGUGAAGGCGAGCAGAAUGUUACACGUGCUCGGCGAAGCAGCAGUAGCAAAAUGAUUGGCGUAAAGGCCUUUUACUCAUACUCAGUACAUGUCUGUGUCUUUGUUUUAGCAAAUAUGGGGAGAAUAUGGUAGAAAUUAAACUAGUUUAUAGAUGGCACUCACACUAUCCUGCUUCUCUGGCUUCUGCAUCAGCUUUUUGUGACACAGGCAGCACUUUCCAAACUGUAGCAAAUUUUGCUCAUAUCAUACACUCUUUUGGGUUUCUGUUUAUGUCACGUUUAUGCCUGGGUCACUUUUUGAAGUCAGUUGCUUGUGCAGUCUUUCAAGAUCAAAUUAAUCAUUGUUUGUCUGGAUGCUGCCAGAUACUUAUUUGCUCAGCAGUAUCCAUGUGCACAGAGGAAUUGAACACCUUAGUCAUCUCAACCUUGAAAUUUGUUGAAAUGCAGCGAUUUGCUAUAGCAUGACAUUGCCUCAAGUAAAGGUAGGGCUGCCAGAUGCUUUUCAUUUGUGCAUGCGUGUGUUUUGUGCAUGCAUCUGUGAUUUUCUUUGGAGCAGUGUGAACAAAAGAGAAUGCGUGCACUGCUAUGUGUGAGGCAGGAUCUACUAGGAAAUGCACACGUAAUGCUGUUUAUAUCAGCCUAAUGCUAGCAAUGCCUCCUUUCAGGCUGAAAAUUUGCAGUUUUGAUUCCAUCUUGCUUUCUUCCCUCCUUCCUUUGUGAUAGUCUCUCUCUUUCUCUUUUAACAGAGGAGUUUAUGUAUGGAUCACGAGAGUAGGCAAUUUCUUCUAGAGAUUGUAUGUUAGGUCAUGUGCCUGCAAAAACUUUGGACUUGCUUUAAAUGAGAGAUGUUCACCCAGAGCCAAACUACAGGAAUUCCGUUCCUGACUUCUGAAGAACAAAACGUUCGAAUCCUUUAUGUAACCUGUCAUGUCUUAAAAUAGGAAUCAACAGGGAGGAUUUUUGUAGUGGAAGGAUUAUGGUAACACAAGCACUACCAGUGAACACCCUCACUCCUGCAAGACACCAAAGUUGCAUUGUCCAUUGAAGCUCCCUCAUGGAACACCCUGUCUACUGAAACAAUCAGGCAACUCCUCAGCCCCAUGGAUAAUUUUACUCCUUGAGCAACAUAUUGUGAUGUAGUCUGUGUCACAGUAGCACAAAGUGGGAUUUCUUGUUUUUGUGGGUACCUCACGGCAACUUAGUAGCAGGUGUGACUUGGUCAUAUAUUGUGUUACUGUUAUUGAAACAGCAAAUUUCUAAAGCAUUUCAGUGAUACUUUUGCAGAAGUUAAUACAUUUCACUGCACUUCAUCAGUCAAGUUGUGCAAAGCAAGAGCAGUUCAGGGUUAUUUCUGUGCAGGAAAAAAAUUUGUUGGGAUCCAAUGAGCUGUACAUAAUUUAGUAGUAGAAUUAUGCAUGGUGACUUGAAUUUUACAAACUUGUGAGGCACAGUGGUGUCAUACUAGGUCUUUCAGCUGAGUAAUUAAAAAAUGCCUCUAAAUGAGGCUGGUUAGAUAUUAUGUGUGGAUUUGUCCAAAUAACUUUAAACACACUGGCAACUUUUUUAAAAUUAUAAUGUUUAUUACAAAACACAGGUGCAAAAAAAGUGAAUAAAGUGGCAUAGAUGCAAUAAUUACCUAAUUACUAUUUUUAACUUGUAAACUUGGGGAGAAUUAGUCUAACACUUGGAGCCCCUAUAACAUCAGAACCACCCUUCAAAAUUGUGACACUGCUGUGUGCUGUAGCUGUAUAAAUUUUGGCUUAAUUAAGGGCUGAGGCUGAAAAGAAUGUAAAGAGCACAGUUUCCACACCUGGAAAAGACAUACCUCGCUGAUACAUCUGUCAGUGGUGCACAGCUGUCAUUUGCAGGCUGCAAUUAUUCUGGCUUGAUGAUGAAAUUUAGAAAGGCUUAAGUGUUGGGCACCAAAUCACACUGCUUUCAUAAAUGCACACAUGAUAUAUGCCUUGUAAAUAUUUUGAUAGAAAAUGUUUACAGUGUCAUAUAUUUGUUCAUUACUUGACAGACAGGUCAGGUGUGCACAUUUUCCCAGUUCCUGUUUCUUGGAUCGAAGAAGUCAAUGUUUUUCAAGUUAAAGCACCUGGCAUUACACUUUUCAAAAUCUAAAAGCAAUCUUAAGCACAUUCAGUAGGAACUCAAAGUUUAUUAAAAUAAGCAGUCUGCAUGUUCUUCUUAAGCCAUGUUCUCCUUAAGGUUAUUAUAGCGUCCCUUAUUUUUUAGUUAAAUAAUUUUUAAGUCAUAUUUUAAAGCAUCUGUCACUAUGGUUAGAGCGACCCCAAUGAAGGCACAAUAUAUUUUGCAUUUCGUUUUAGACCUUUUUGGACACUUUAGAAUGCUCUAUGUUAAGUUGCUGGGGUCAUUUUUGCCAUGAUAAUGUAAUGUUACUUUACAGAUAAAGCUUACUCGUAUAACUGCACUUACAAAUAUUCCUUCAUAUCAUUUCACUGUUGUCAUUUUUACUGAUUAUCAAUCUCAACAUUAUCUUGAUUCUGUUUUGGAAUGCAGUCAUAUGAAAUAUAAGAUGUUGAAAUAGGAUUUUUCAGAGAAUUAUGAAGAGUUUUGCUUUGCCAUUGUUAAGGCCCCUAUGGUAAAGAGAAAGAUAUGCUUUGCUGUUCCUUUAACAUAAGCCAAAUGUCUUAAUCAGAAAAUGUGUUUACUCGUUUUAAAAUGAAGCAAGUUAAAGAUGAGUUGCAGGUACUUUUUCAGUGACAUUGUAAGAAAACACACUGCAAUGUAGGCAAAACAAUGCCGCCCCCAUCGCAGUUAUGUAGUCUUCUGAAACCUGGGAUGCAUUUGUGUGCACAGAUUUUCCUUUCAGAAUAGUCUUAACUUUCAGAAUAAGUCAGUAGGAAUAUAUUAUAAAGGUGAAAAUUGUUAAAUAUUUUUCCAAUAGCCCUGAUAGUUUCAGCUCAGUGCAAUGUCCAAUAUAUUGGACACUGCGAUUCUUCCCGGCCUUUUUUCACCCAGCACGCAUGUAAUGAUCGGAUUGGACAAACUUUAAUAAAGGUCCUGCAUGUAAUGAUGUACCGCAAAUAGUGUGCUCAAACUCGUGUGCAAAAAUGUUUUAAUACUCGAAAGGUUAAAGUAGUGAAUAAAGGACAUAAAAAGGAGCCUUUCUCUGCUCAACAAGAAUUUCACUUAAGGACAUUGCUGGGCUAGUUGGUGCAUUGUAUUUAAGCCUUUUUCCUGUCUUCUUGUAUGUUUCCUGUGUGUGUCUUAUUUUGGCUGGUUUUUUCGUAAAGAAUUUUGCUCUUGUGUUUAUUUCUUAUGGGCAAUUUCAAAACAUGUUCUGUCCUUUGUUAUGCAGGAGUGCUGACAUUUGGUGCAAAAGAACUUUGCUUUCAUGUUGCAGCCCUGUAGUCUGCAACGGGCAGCAUUGGCAGUAUCAGCCAGCCUUGGGAAGUGGCCAGUGCUCUUUUCUUGGGGUUCUCCUGGAGAUAGUCUAGCCUGCUUUGAUGGCGAAUGCCACUUGGCUUCGUUUUUGCUCUCCAUUUCAUCCUUUGUCUUCCCUUGAGCCACGAGGGUCUCAGCAACAGAUUGGCAUAACUCCAUAAAUUUGAGUAUUUCUUUCCGCAAUUCCUGUAGGGAGCACAUGUCCUGCGUGUACUGGGCCCAGGAGUUGCUGAAGGCGAUAUCCAAGAGGUGAAAGAUGGAUCUAAUUGACCAUGACUUGUGCUUUUCUCGAGUAGUAACGUAUCAUCCUAUGUGCUAGGUCAAUGCCGGCAAUGUUUACGUUGUACAUGCACACAAUGUCUGGGCAAGAGACAUCGACAUGUUUUCUUUUAUUUUUUUCCCUUAUGAGACCACCUGUAACAGGUGUCUUGCGAGUCCUGGCCAAGAAUUGAAGAAAGAAAAGUUAUUGACUUGCUGUCGUACCAGCAGAUGAAAGUCUGUUGCUUGUCUUUUCUGACCCAUGCUUCUAAUGUUCCUCUUCCUCUUUGCUUCAGCUCCUUCUCACUAGAAAGCUUUACCCUUUUUGGUAUUCGGUUAUUUAUCCGUGGUCCUGUGGCGGCGAUCCCUUUUUCCGCAAGUUUAUCUAGCAGUGGACCAGAUGUAAAGUACCUGUCAAAAUAAAGCUUCGUUCCUGGGAGCAGUGUAUCCAUAAGCCGUAGCACUGCAGAUUCUGCAAUUCCAGAGCUCCCUGGGAAUAGGCUUGAUUUCAUUCCUUGAUAAAUUUUGAAAUUGAGCAUUAAUCCAUCUGGUGGUAGCAAGAACAACAUUUUUCAUACCUUCGGGAUUUGGCUUGUGUGGAACGUGUUGCUUCAGCUGUGUUUGUCCACUGAAAGGUAUCAUUUGCUCAUCAACACGGACAAACUGUGUGUGAGGGAGCUUCUGCCAGCCCUCCAGUACAAAUGUGACUAGUGGCCUUAUGCGCCACAGUAGAUCCUCUUUCUUGUCUUCCGCACUCACGUCAAGCUCAUUAACCAACUGCAGGCGGUGUCGCAGCUUGAAAUAUCUGUCUCUGGUCAUGUCGUCAGCAACAAGAGGCACUCUUGUCUUCUUUUGCCAAUACAUUCGUAUUCGUGGAUAACAGAGGCAUGACAUAGUCAAGGAAAUUCCAAAAAUAGUUUUCAGCUCCUCCACUGACGUUUUCAAAUAAUUUCACGUACCUUGAAUAUAACUCCUAUUAAUCACAAUGCCAUUUUCUCGUACACCUCAUUUUGAGUAUACUGCACAAAGUAGUUAAUUGGUGCCCAAGAAACCUGUUUUUCACUCCUAUCAGCACUGCUUUGGAAGUCUGGGAUUCACGUUGGAAGCUGGCUGCAUGUAAAAGAGGCAGCAAUGAAAUAGAAUCACCCAUGUAAGUGUUUAAUGUCCUAACAAUCUCCACAAAGCUAGCGCUUGCAAUAUUUCCUUUCUUGCCAUUGAUGGCAUUUCCAAGAUUUAUUAGUUCUUCCAGCGCUUGAUGUGGGGGCCCGUCAUCAUCUCUGCUUUCAUCUGUUUCUGAGUUUGCAUCAUCAAGGGGUGCGCAGAAGUUCGGAUCCACAAUAGUGUCGUCGUCACUAUCGAAAAAGCUCAAUGUCCGACAUGUUCCCUUAGGCAGUUCUUCGCAAAAUCACGUCAGCCGUCUCUAUCAGACACGCAAGGCUGAUCUCCUACAGAAAAAAAGAGAUGCCAUUUCGUCCACAAGCUGUUAAAUCCCAACAGUACUCAUCUGUUGUUCAUAAUAAGGCUAUCGCAAAAGUCUGGUCAAAAUAACCGGGUUGAGUCCCAGCAUCCAACAUAAUGGACACCCAAAAUCAAAGGAAGUGUAGAUUAAAGUAAGCACGUGAGCAGUUUGAAGUUUCUAUUCUGAGUGUUCACUGUUGUAUCAACUUUAAUAUAAGAUCAAAGAUAUGCAUUGAAAGUAGGUAGAAAUACAACAAACAGUACUUACUUCUCCGGCAGAUGCCAUAAAAUGCCAUGCCGCUGAAUGCCGUCAUUCUGGAACUGUUUUGGCGGGAAUUUGAGUGAUGCAUUUUCAUCAGUGCAGCAUAGAUGACGCCAGCAGGUGUCCACUACAUUGGACAGUGGGGUUUGAUGAGGAUAAAUGUCUUGGCAUAGGAGCACUGUCUCAUUACUUACCCCGGCAUUCAUAAAUGCAUCUUGAAGCUCAUGCCAAAUGACGCCUCGCGUGAACGUGCCCAAGACCCUCAUUGCGUUUCCUUUGGUGCGUUCACGACAGGCGUCCUUUAAAUCAGGUCAAGCGUGGGCUCCAAGUUUAGACACAUUUCUGAAUACGGGAGUUAGUGUCCAAUAUAUUGGACAAAUCCUCGUAGCGGGGUCUCGGGAAGGUAGAGCAAAUGAACAGCGAGCGUUUGGAUUGCAGUAGUGACAUAGACUGCUGCGGGCUCGGAAAGAGUCUUCUACCAAGCUCGUACUGCCAUAUAGACAAUAUUUCACUGUUUGUGCUGCAGAAAGCCAUUGUGGGCUCAGCAGACUGUAGUAAAUGCUGUCACUUCACUUUGGAGAAUAUCAUAUGCAUUCCCUGUGCAAGUGUAACAGCAUUAUAAUUUACCACGGGAUCAUUGUACCUUGGGCCAGUUGGUUAGUCAUAAAAGAAGGAACCUAGCACAAACAAGACGACAGUAAGAGGAACACAUACGAUGGGACAGGUGCUUGUUUGUCUGUCUUGCAGUGAGUUGUUCUUUGUUUGUGUUCACACUGAGCUGUAAUUGUUUACAUCAUUGUCUCUAGUUACUAAAAAAAACUAAAGGACUUUCAUGUUUUUGUGUGCUAAACAAAUUUAUGUCUGCAGAAAUGGUGCACUGUGUAACUCAGCUCCACCACUGUGCUAUAACACUCUGGAUGGUGGUCGGGCUGUGUGAAUGUGCUUGACUUUCUCUUUCCAAAUGGUGAAUUUAGACAGCCAAUAGUUAUAACAGUGAUUAUGUUAAGGCAUAUUCAUGAAAGCAGCCUUGAUAUAUGAUAUCCUUAAUUUGGAAUAUGUAGCACUACCACUGCACCGGCAACACUUUGGAAGUUCUGAUCCCACAGUUCUCAGUUUGUUGUUAAAUGCUAGUCUAGCCACAGGUCACCAUGGUACUUGUGAACACUUCCUCUCUGAUACAUUUCGCUUAGCAUUCCUUAUCUUUCUUGUCUUGUAAGCUAGUUCAGCUGUCACAUUAUGUUGCGUUAAAAUGACCAAUAAUGCUCGGCACGUGUUGUGUUGGACCUUCAUCUCCAAUUAUAGUGAUUUCAAAACAUUAAACACAAGAGGUUUGUUAUAAUUGUUGCUGUGAUUAACCAUAGGCUAUGACGAAUAUUAUUAUUCGGUAUGAGAAAAUGCAUAUACAAUUGGCUGAGAGGGAGAUAGGUCGCAAAAAUCUAGUCUUUUCCAAGGCUGUGGGUCAUGCAGGGAUGACUGUGUGCUGUGGUUUGCUAACUCCUUAAGGAGGAAUUAUUCUCAGCUGUACUCAAGAAUACCUCAAGGAUUGUGAGAAAGCUGUUCUUGUUUUUCUUCCAGUGGUAGAAUGCUGCCAUAUUCAGUUUUCUCCCUUCUCACCAAUGCAUUUUUGGAGCGUUACACUACAGCAGCUUGUGCUGAUAUCACUUAGAAGCUGCUUAUGCUUUCAUUGUGCCAGUAUAGCGUACUGCACCUGAUAAGGCAGCCAUAUUUACUGCUGGUGAAUGUUGAGCUGUUUGCAUUAAUGCUCCACCUCAUGAGGAGGUGUUGUUUUGUUGUGUGUGGCCUUCUGCCCACCAUACUCCAGAAGCCUUUCUUGUCCUUCAUAUGAGGGAAGGUCUCAGUCAGGGUGAAACAUGAGGCAAGCAUGAUGGAAGUUUGGCAAGGAUGAGCCUCGUCAUAUAUUUCUGUUGUUUCCGGGUCUUGGGGCCUGCAUAGUGCAAUGAGCGAUUGCUAGAUUGCACAUAACUAGUCAGCAUACCAACUUUGUAGCAAUUACCAGCACCUUUUUCCACAGAAUAAAAAAAAAAUUGCUUGUUCUUGAAUGCACACAGCACCCUUCACAACUGCUAAAGCCUUGCUGCUUACCACAGCAACGUGAUAGGUGCACUGUUCCUCUCGGAAGUUGUGCAUUUUUUCCUCCUGUUGCAUUACACACAUCUAAGCAUUAUUUAUUGCACACAGCACUAGGUCUGUUUUGAUAACAGCAGUGAUAUUACAUUUGGUGUGUGUCCAUUGUGAAUUCCAGUUUGAUGUGCUUGGUACCACAUUAUGAGAGAAUGUAUUUUCGGCUUAUUUAGAAGGUACCUUUGCACAUUGUAGUGUGGCGAGAUCAUUUUGUGAAAGUGUGGCUGUUGAAGCUACGUAUGAUGUAUUUAUUUACAUUUGCUUUAAAUUGCUAUGUGCCUGCCUUAAAUGUUUUUUCAUUGUGCUGUUUACCUGUGCUUCUGUUUGUGUAAUGUGUAUUCAAAAGUUGUGUUUAAGGUGAAAAAUUCUGUCUUGUAGCAAGACUGUUUUUGUAAUAUUUUGCUGCCCUGGUGAGGUGCAUUGUUCUUAUUGCAGUUGUUAAAUUUCUUGAAGAUUUUUAACCCUUGUGCUAUCAUGUUGCUAGUCAUAGAAGCUUUGAAUUAUUUGUUAUUUUCUAGUCAUGUCGAAUUCUGCUCCAUUUUGUUAGCUCUCAUAUGUUUUCCUCAAAUGUCCUCAAGUGUAUUGACUCAAGUCUGCCUGCCAUGUUACUUGAUGAACAUUCACCAUUUACAAAGGUUGUUUACGUGGGGUAUGGCCAGUGCACAGCAAACUUUUAUGCCGAGAUGUGCGUGGCACAGUAAUUGCAUCUGUCCAGAGCUCUUUUUGGGUCGUGCUGGUGAUGUUGGCUUACAUAUGUGGGACUGUGCAAGAGAACCUUAUCUUUUCCACUCUCCAUGAAGUAUGCAUAGUUUUAUGCCAGAGGCAUCAGUCAUGGCUGUACACAUCCAAGUGACUACUUUUGUAUAAAGUUCUUGCUCCACUGAAUGCUAUUAAGCUGUCUGGCUUGCUUAAGUUUGUUAUACCUAUUACAGGACCAUUUGAAUUGAGCAUUGCAGGUUAAGUUGCAACAUAAAUGCCUUGGCUUUUUUGGAGUAAAGGUACCUGUUGUGCAUUAGCUAAAGCAGUGUAGUUAAUGACUUCGUAGUGCUUUUUCUUUAAAUUAGGUUUUAGUAUUCAUCAUCCAGAAUGUCAGGUGUCAUAACUUUCUUUUCCUUUUUUUUUAGAGGCUUACUAAUUUGCAUACAUCCAAUCAAUUCUUUGUUAAACUUGCAGACGUUACUAGAUGGCAGCUAUUAUUCUAACACUUUCACAGUAUAUGCACAUUUACUGAAAAAUGCAUCCUGAAUGCAUUCCGCUGAUGUAAUGGCCAAUACGUCACUACUGACUAAUGGCAGCAGUACACAGUACUGUUACCAAUGUCAAGUUUGGCAUUAGGUUCAUGCUGUUUUACAGAACUGUAGCAGGCAUACAGGACUCUAGAGAACAACUUGAAGUUAGUAGAAAAAGUGCAUGAAAAAAGAAAAGGUUCACCUUUCACUUAAAACAGUUGUAUUGCAGCUGUUUGGCACUUUGUCAUUAAAUGACUCAUGAAUGCCUGCUUUGACCAUUUUGUGCAUGUCUUUUCUAAUUGAAAUAGGUUAUCGAGGAACUCGAUAUAAUCAGCUAGCAUUGUUAAUCUUAAUUAGGGACGAUCCUUAGCACUAGCACAGUUUCUGGCCUUCACUUAGUGGUUUUUUAGUGUCAUAGAAGCAGUUUAAAGGACGCAGUAGCACAAAUGGUUAUAGGGUGCAUUAGUACGCCAGUAAUUUUGUAUUCAGUUUAACUCUCGAAUUUUUUAGCAGCUUAGUAAAGCCAUUUUUCUUUUGGCUCACUUUUCUUUUUUGAUGCAUACUUGGUUCAGAGGCAGGAUUUAAAAGUAACCCUUGAGGCCAUGAUAAUGCUACGCAGAUGUGAUUUAAGAUGUGGUUUUCUCUGCAUUUGUCAGCAAUCCUAGCUCUUUGGCAUAGCAUCAGCAACCAGGAUUUCACAUCUUCAGAGUCACCCAAUCCCCCUUGCCAUUCUGUUGCGCAAAAACAACUGUGCUGCCAUGCAGUAAAAAAGAAGGCGAGUAAUGCUAUUCAGGAUAGUGUGCCAGCAACAACUUGUCAAACAAGCCUUAUGAGAGCAAGCUACAACGUGGAGACUGAAAAUUGCAUUGCUCAACUGACUCCACCGAGUACCUUGUCUCUACUGCUUUUGUGUGUUCAGUCUCUUGCACUAGUCAUAGUUGUGCACCUGCUUCCCAUUUUAAUGUGGUGGCGUACAACCAUUUGGUGGCGUUUCGCUGUUUGUUCUCUUUAGUAACUCCAGUUUCUGUAGUAUCAUGGCAAGGACUUUGCCUGCGAUGUACCCACUGAAAUGGGUGAUUUCAUGCCCUCUGCUGGACAAAGCUGUAGUCCUAGGUGGUCAACUACUACUUACAAUUUUGCUUCCCAGUCUUUUUAAAACUUUGGAGCAACAUUUUCUCAGAUCACUUGUGACAAUACUCGACACUCACCCAAGAUGAGAAAACAUGGUUGUGGUUAACAAAUAUAAAGUUCAGAUAUUUAUUUCUUCACGGAGACAGUAGAACUAGCUGCAUUCACUGGUGUUAUUCUUGCCAAGUUUGGAAAGAACCUUCGAGCGAGCGACUUGAAAAGGCCUCCAGUAUUGAUGUGGCUGAACCCAAUGACGAACCAGUUUCGCUUGCAUGGUUGCCAGACCUUGCAGCCAUUUGUGUGGAUGGUGCGUAAGCCAGAGGAUGAUGGUUGUGCUGGCUCGUUGCUUCUGCUUGCAAGAUGUUCACACUGAACAUCAUUUUCUUGGAGCUUGUACUUUGCCUUACCUCUCCAGUUGGACUGCCCCAAUUCUAGGAGGAAAAGUAGUUUUUGAAACCUACUCUUAAAUAAAAAUGACUUUCAAUGAA